GUGCCAGCAGCCGCGGUAAUACAGAGGGGGCAAGCGUUGUUCGGAAUUACUGGGCGUAAAGGGCGCGUAGGCGGCCAACUAAGUCGGACGUGAAAUCCCCUGGCUCAACCAGGGAACUGCGUCCGAUACUGGAUGGCUUGAAUCCGGGAGAGGGAUGUGGAAUUCCAGGUGUAGCGGUGAAAUGCGUAGAUAUCUGGAGGAACACCGGUGGCGAAGGCGGCAUCCUGGACCGGUAUUGACGCUGAGGCGCGAAAGCCAGGGGAGCAAACGGGAUUAGAAACCCUCGUAGUCC
rnacentral:rRNA from 1 species